GGGAUUGCCCUAGUAACGGCGAGUGAACAGGCAAGAGCUCAGAUUUGAAUGGCACUUUUGUGCCGUUGUAUUCUGAAGUUAGGGUCCUGAGAAACGAUGCUUAAGUCUUCUGGAAAGGAGCGCCAUGGAGGGUGAUAGCCCCGUCUAGCAUUGACCUCAUAUAGGAUCUUAACAUGGAGUCGAGUUGUUUGGGAAUGCAGCUCAAAUGGGUGGUAUGCUCCAUCUAAAGCUAAAUAUCUGCGAGAGACCGAUAGUAAACAAGUACUGUGAGGGAAAGAUGAAAAGAACUUUGAAAAGAGAGUGAAAAAGUACGUGAAAUUGUUGAAAUGGAAGGGUAGGCCGCUAACCAUGUAGAGCCGUGUUUGGGGGGAAGAUAAAUGCUGUAGAAUGUAGCUCCUCGGAGUAUUAUAGAUGCAGUUCAUAUUCCCACCCGAGCGCGAGGAUCUCAGGUUCUACUAAAUGGUGGUCUACCACCCGUCUUGAAACA
rnacentral:rRNA from 1 species